CUCUCUCCCUCUCCCUUCUUAUCUCUCUAAAAAUCAAUUAAAAAAUCUUUAAAGUAAAGUCAGAUGUCUUUUCCUAGCAGGGAUGAUGGUCAGCACUAUUAGCUCCUGCCGUCCUAGUCUAGUCACCAGCUCUCCAUCCGUGUGAGGGCCGCAUGCCGGGCGCUGGGUGCUCUGUGGCCAGUAGUGGCCAGCUGUGUGAGCUGGUGCAGGGCCCUGGGUGGACUGUGAACUGUAAGCACUGAUGACGUCAGCAGAGUUAGGUAAACACAGCUGGGACUGCCCCGUAGCCCGCGGGUGACCUGACCGCAGCUGUCAUUCACCCUCGGAGAGGCUCAGUCCGCCCUGCGGUGGACCUGCCACGGUGCCUUGCACUGGUUGUAUCUGUUUUCUCGCUCACAGGUUUGCAUGGAGCCAGUAGAAUCGAGAGCCUAAGGCGCCUCCAGGACAGGCUGGGUUCACGCUGGGGCCGAGGCUCUCCCGGGCGUGUGACCUUGGGCGGGAUCCAAGGUCAGAUUCCUCAGCUCGGGAAGGAGGGUAGCCCUGGACGAACAGUGUGCGGCUCAGGACAGAUGACCUGGCCCCGUCCCCGGCACGGUUAGUGGCAGCAGACUCCGAAAUCAAGCAGAAAAAUAAACUGAAUGACCUGGGACGGAGUUUCUUCUUCCGAAUGACUAAGCAUUCCAAUAGCCUCGCACGCGGCGGUUCCCAGGAAGAAGCUGUCCAUCACACACGCUGCCUCGUAACGGAGGAAAUCCAGGCUGUGAGCAAGCCGUCCGUGCGCUAGGCCAGCGGCUCUCCUGUGCCUAAUUGCCUGCACUUGGAGCCGCUGCGGUCAGGUCUUUUCCGCAAGUUCAUUCCCGCCAGCUGUCCCGGCUGUCGUCUGGCUGCCAGAGCCCGGCCUGGGACGCAUGCAGCCGCAUUAGAAAUCACCCGGGCACGCUGUCCUCCGCGUCUCCAAGGCACCUCGGUCACGCGGUGGGACAGUCCGGGGUGAGGGCCCGCUAGGCUUGAGCUCCUCCGACGCUGACGUGGUGCCCGCGUUUGCAUUUCACAGGCGUUGGGUUGCGUGUUUCCAAGCACUUGCUGUGUCCUCCGCUUUAACGGGCAGGCCUUUCUGCAGACCUUAAUCUCCAGUAUUUUUUUAAAAUAAGAAAACACUCUGUUA